UACGUAGGGUGCAAGCGUUAAUCGGAAUUACUGGGCGUAAAGCGUGCGCAGGCGGUUAUAUAAGACAGUUGUGAAAUCCCCGGGCUCAACCUGGGAACUGCAUCUGUGACUGUAUAGCUAGAGUACGGUAGAGGGGGGGAUGGAAUUCCGCGUGUAGCAGUGAAAUGCGUAGAUAUGCGGAGGAACACCGAGUGGAGCGAGC
rnacentral:rRNA from 1 species